UACGUAGGGGGCUAGCGUUGUCCGGAAUCAUUGGGCGUAAAGCGCGCGUAGGUGGCCUCAUAAGUCCGCUGUGAAAGUCAAAGGCUCAACCUUUGAAAGCCGGUGGAUACUGUGAGGCUAGAGUACGGAAGAGGCGAGUGGAAUUCUUGGUGUAGCGGUGAAAUGCGUAGAUAUCAAGAGGAACACCUGGGGCGAAGGCGGGUUGCUUGUCUGACACUGACGCUGAUGCGCGAAAGCCAGGGGAGCAAACGGG
rnacentral:rRNA from 1 species